UAUAUUUUGGUGUAUUAAGCACUUAAAAUUUUGAAAUUUAAUGAAUUAGAUUAGAUCUAAUAAAUAUAA
rnacentral:tRNA from 1 species